AUGAAGUGUUUUUUAAACAUUACAGAAUCCCAGAGAGAAGAACUGGAAAAACAGCUCUCAGGAUCACACAGGGCACACAGAACCAGUCUGAGAGGCUGCAGCCACAGUUCUAGGCAUCUAUCUGAGAUCAUGCCUGAGGCUCAUGUCCCGUGGAGAUCCCAGGUAGAAAGCUUGAACACCUCAGCCAGUCAAUCCCUUCUGAGCCUUCGGCUGAUGCAGGAGUUGUCCCAGGACACAGCAGGAUGUUUUACACUGGAACUUAUAGCACAGCUCCCUUCCGGUGAGCUACCUUUCGGGCGCUCAGAAGCUACCGUAGCUUACAGCUACUGUAUCAGACAGUGCAGCUCUAUAAAUGAGGACAUGUGCUCGGAAGGCACCUUCUAUAUCUCAUGCUCUGGAAAUACCAAGAUGAACCAUGCGGACCCUGACCUCAUGGAGUUAAGAGUCUAG
rnacentral:lncRNA from 13 species